rnacentral:rRNA from 1 species
UACGUAGGGUGCGAGCGUUGUCCGGAAUUAUUGGGCGUAAAGAGCCCGUAGGCGGUUUGUCACGUCUGCUGUGAAAUCCCGAGGCUCAACCUCGGGCCUGCAGUGGGUACGGGCAGACUGGAGUGCGGUAGGGGAGAAUGGAAUUCCUGGUGUAGCGGUGGAAUGCGCAGAUAUCAGGAGGAACACCGAUGGCGAAGGCAGUUCUCUGGGCCGUAACUGACGCUGAGGAGCGAAAGCGUGGGGAGCGAACAGG